ACAAAUUCGGGGGGCGGAGCCUGACUAACAAGCGGACUAGACGUGCAUGUCGAGAACUCCUGAGUCCGGAGCCAAGAUUCUGGGUCUAACGCCCGACCACCCGAUCACAUCGACUGCUAAACGCAAUAAUCGUGACAAGGAGACUGCACUGCAACCGGAGAUACCCGACACUUGGCUCUCCGGUGCUGGGCGGACCAAAUCGUG